rnacentral:pre_miRNA from 1 species
CUACAUUAUGUUUGUGAUGUUAUCACAGCGCCUUGAGCCUACAUUAUGUUUGUGAUGUUAUCACAGCGCCUUCAAACAUAAUGUAGGCUCAAGGCGCUGUGAUAACAUCACAAACAUAAUGUAGG